AUGCAAGGUAUGGCCCUGGCCAUUCAACACUCAAACUAUCCGUUGGUGUUACAAUCGGAUUCCUCUGAAGCGUUAUCAUGCCUAUCCACGGACGCUCUGCAGCGGUCAGCUUAUGGCCAAUUAGUCUUGGAGAUUAAACACUUAGCUGGUAGUAGGGAGUUUGUACCUCAGAAACUUAGUCGUUCUCAGAAUAGAGUUGCCGAUCGUUUGGCAAACUAUAGCCGAUUGGAGCGAGCCACCGUUGUCUGGCUUCGCACAAUACCGCCUUGUAUUGACGACCUGUGGCCUCUCGACUGUAACUCUAUGAACUUGCAAUAA
rnacentral:rRNA from 1 species